rnacentral:misc_RNA from 1 species
GAAAUGCGAUAAGUAAUGUGAAUUGCAGAAUUCAGUGAAUCAUCGAAUCUUUGAACGCACCUUGCGCUCCUUGGUAUUCCUUGGAGCAUGCCUGUUUGAGUAUCAUGAAAUCUUCAAAGUAAAUCUUUUGUUAACUCAAUUGGUUUCUACUUUGGUAUUGGAGGUCUUUGCAGCUUCACACCUGCUCCUCUUUGUUCAUUAGCUGGAUCUCAGUGUUAUGCUUGGUUCCACUCGGCGUGAUAAGUUAUCUAUCGCUGAGGACACUGUAAAAGGUGGCCAAGGUAAAUGCAGAUGAACCGCUUCUAAUAAUACAUUGACUUGGACAAUACUUUUAUGAUCUGAUCUCAAAUCAGGUAGGACUACCCGCUGAACUUAAGC